rnacentral:rRNA from 1 species
GACGAACGCUGGCGGCGUGCUUAACACAUGCAAGUCGAACGGAAAGGCCCUGCUUUUGUGGGGUGCUCGAUUGGCGAACGGGGGAGUAACACGUGAGUAACCUGCCCUUGACUUUGGGAUAACUUCAGGAAACUGGGGCUAAUACCGGAUAGGAGCUCCUGCUGCAUGGUGGGGGUUGGAAAGUUUCGGCGGUUGGGGAUGGACUCGCGGCUUAUCAGCUUGUUGGUGGGGUAGUGGCUUACCAAGGCUUUGACGGGUAGCCGGCCUGAGAGGGUGACCGGCCACAUUGGGACUGAGAUACGGCCCAGACUCCUACGGGAGGCAGCAGUGGGGAAUAUUGCACAAUGGGCGGAAGCCUGAUGCAGCAACGCCGCGUGCGGGAUGACGGCCUUCGGGUUGUAAACCGCUUUCGCCUGUGACGAAGCGUGAGUGACGGUAAUGGGUAAAGAAGCACCGGCUAACUACGUG